rnacentral:tRNA from 1 species
UCCCUGGUGGCUCAGCAGGUUAAGGAGCUGGCAUUGUUACUGCUAUAGUUUGGGUUCAAUCCCUAGCCCGGGAA